rnacentral:rRNA from 1 species
UACGGAGGGUGCGAGCGUUGUCCGGAAUCACUGGGCGUAAAGGGCGCGUAGGCGGCCUGAUAAGUAGGGGGGUGAAAUCCUGAGGCUUAACCUCAGGGCUGCCUUCUAAACUGUCAGGCUCGAGCACAGUAGAGGCAGGUGGAAUUCCCGGUGUAGCGGUGGAAUGCGUAGAGAUCGGGAAGAACAUCAGUGGCGAAGGCGGCCUGCUGGGCUGUUGCUGACGCUGAGGCGCGACAGCGUGGGGGAGCAAACAGG